CAGUAGCCACGGUAAUACGUAGGUGGCAAGCGUUGUCCGGAAUUAUUGGGCGUAAAGGGCUCGCAGGCGGUUUCUUAAGUCUGAUGUGAAAGCCCCCGGCUCAACCGGGGAGGGUCAUUGGAAACUGGGAAACCUGAGUGCAGAAGAGGAGAGUGGAAUUCCACGUGUAGCGGUGAAAUGCGUAGAGAUGUGGAGGAACACCAGUGGCGAAGGCGACUCUCUGGUCUGUAACUGACGCUGAGGAGCGAAAGCGUGGGGAGCGAACAGGAUUAGAUACCCCCGUAGUCCCUGUCUCUUAUAC
rnacentral:rRNA from 1 species